AGAGUUUGAUCAUGGCUCAGAACGAACGCUGGCGGCGUGGAUAAGACAUGCAAGUCGAACGCUGAUUUCAGGGUAGCAAUAUCUUGAAGUUGGAGUGGCGCAAGGGUGCGUAACACGUGGGUAAUUUGCCGUGAAGUUGGGAAUAACUCGCUGAAAGGCGAGCUAAUGCCGAAUGUGACAGCCGGGAGGCAUCUCCUGGUUUUCAAAGCUGGGGACCGCAGGGCCUGGCGCUUCACGAUAAGCCCGCGGCCUAUCAGCUAGUUGGUGAGGUAACGGCUCACCAAGGCUAAGACGGGUAGCUGGUCUGAGAGGACGACCAGUCACACUGGAACUGAGACACGGUCCAGACACCUACGGGUGGCAGCAGUCGAGAAUUUUUCUCAAUGGGCGAAAGCUGAAGGAGCGACCCCGUGGGGGAUGAAGGGCUUCGGCCCGUAAACCCCUGUCAUUUGCGAACAAACCUUACGGCUAACACAUCGUGAGCUGAUUGUAGCGAAAGAGGAAGGGACGGCUAACUCUGUCCAGCAGCCGCGGUAAUACAGAGGUCCCAAGCGUUGUUCGGAUUCACUGGGCGUAAAGGGUGCGUAGGUGGCGGGGUAAGUUUGAUGUGAAAUCUCCGGGCUUAACCCGGAAACUGCAUUGAAUACUAUCUCGCUCGAGGUUUGGAGGGGGGACUGGAAUUCUCGGUGUAGCAGUGAAAUGCGUAGAUAUCGAGAGGAACCCAGUGGCGAAGGCGAGUCCCUGGACAACACCUG
rnacentral:rRNA from 1 species